rnacentral:tRNA from 1 species
GCCAACGUAGCUCAGUUGGUAGAGCAUCUGAUUUGUAAUCAGAGGGUCGUGGGUUCAAGUCCCUUCGUUGGCU